GUCUCGGUAGCUCAGUUGGCAGAGCGCUGGGCUGGUAUCUCAAAGUCGCGAGUUCGAAUCUCGCCUGAGACA